rnacentral:lncRNA from 1 species
CAACUAGCCGGGAGGCAAGACUGCCCAACUGUCAGGUAAAUUCACCCGUCCUUUAUCUUCCCACCCAGCUGCAUGUCAGAUCCCUAGAUGUACCCCAACUCCCCUUCCCAAUUCCAUAACUACCUAUACAUAAUUAUAUUUUGCUAUGCAUUAUUUCAUAUAUGGACUACAUGAAUACGGUUUGCAUACCUGAAGUCCAUAUGCUCCCAACGAGAAUGCAAGAGAGCUUGCAUGUGUGUCACCAGCCACUAGCUGGGAGACUGAAGGCUGCCUUCAGCUCCCUAAAUAAAUACUUGGAUUAGUAUUUCAAGUAUUUGAAUUAGUAGUUUCAAUGUUUCCAAAAUAUAAAACCUGGAACUGUUAGGAUGUUUGUCCUACUUUUUCUUCUGCUUGUCUUUUGUCCUUCAAAUGCAUUUCUCAGGCAAAUCAACAGGAAGAAUACAGAAACUAGAUAUGAAAUAUGUCUAAUGUCUAUUCCAGGACAGCUUUAUAAAAAGUGUUUCUAUUUUCUGUCUGCUCAGUGCUCUCAUCAAAACUGAGUUUGAAAGCUGUUGAAAAACCUUAUAAUUGACAUUCAAAAAAGGGUAUCUGUGGUGAGAGUCCUUUACAUGAGAUUAACUGAAGAAAUUUAAAGGCAAGUUUGCACACUCCCUGGACACUGAACUGGAGAGUUUGCUGACAGUUCCUAUUCCAGAUGAAAGCUUUCCAUAUCAGUCACAAGUUGACCUCCCCCGAGGGUGAACUUGCACACAGCAUCAUAGUGUCCGCCAGGACCACACCAUCUCCAUGGAAUACUUCAUCUCCAGUUACCUACCUGGCCUUGUUGGGCCAAGCUUUUGUAGUCUGGCUGUGUCUUUAUGGUCUGCUUAUUGGUGUAUUUUAAUGUAUCUGUUGCUCUUCUGCCAGGGGAAGGCUUCUUUUGAUUAGAGGCUGGCCCAAACACAUUUCCAUGCAUGUCUGAGGAAUAGAUAUCACUGGCAAGGUCACAUCUUGGGGGAGCUAGGCAGCUACAAAGACAAACACAGUAGCAGCCAAAGCCCAAAUAUGGUGUGGGCUCUGAGACAGUUGCACUGCCAGCUGUAUAAGUGGAACCUAGAGUUAGAGAUCGGGGUAUUAUUAAAGAGUCACUAUCCAGGGUCUUUCAAUUGAUAUCUCCUGCUCAGCUAUUCCACAAGUUCCAGCAAUAGAGCUUUUUGUUGUUGUUGUUGUUGUUAGGUUCUUUUCUAAUAUACUAAUGCUGUUUAAUAUAAGCAGUCAACACUAGAGUAAUUUGCAUUAUGUAAGUAAUUGAAUAUAAGUACAAAUGUUCCAAUCCAUCUCAGUGGGAUUCUACAGUCCAACCUCCACUCUCACCCUGGACACUGCUAGACACAACAGAUGUUCAGUAAAUAUUGAUCAUAUGAAUGAAUGAAUGAGCUCUGGACUAAGUAGCCUGGGUUUGAAUCCCAUCUCUAAAACCAAAUCUUGGAAGUUUCUUCUUCAACUAAGAUUCUGUAUCUUCAUAAAGUGAGGAAGAAUAGAUAUUGGGGAAAUUUAGGGAGACUUGGCAUGUUGUGUCCACUCAAUCCUUAUUAUCAAUACUAACUUUGUACCUAACUCACCCUCAAGAAAAAGAUCUGCAGUCCCUUUCAUAGCCUCUAAUUCGCUUGGACACAGAGUAGGGAAGCCUAUUGUUUUAAGGGUUUCAAUUAGAUAGGAAACAGAAAGGCUGGGAGGAAAUAUUUUUAACUUUAAUUUUAUUUUACCUUUUUUUUGGAGAAUGGGUUUGAAUAAAUGGUUCUGUGACCCAGUUCCAUUUCUUUUGAGAUUACUGAAUGUAGGGUAUUUGCUACCUCCAUUGGGAUGGUUUUCUUGAAAAAAAAAAGGAAAAAUUUAAUGAAUUACAAAUGUUUCAGUUUCUGCCCACAUGAAUCCAGCAUGGUCCAGACCGGGCUUCCUCCAUUCCUCACUGUGGUUUACACAGAGAAAUGAUUGAAAGUGUGGUGUAUUCCUGGAAUCCCAGGCACUUGGGAGGCUGAGGCAAGAGGGUCACAAGUUCCAGGCCAGCCUCAGCCAUUUAGCAAGACUGCCCCAAAAUAAAUAAUAAAAAGGGCUGGGGAUAUAGUUUAGUGGCAGAGCCUUGGGUUCAAUCCCUGGUCCUGACAAAAAAGAAAGAGAGAUGAUUAAACAUGUAUGGACUGGAAAAGACUAACUUGUUUGCAGAGUUGCGAAAUUGUGACUGGCUUCCUUCCUGCCCGCAUCCAUUGCUAACUGGAUGGAAGUUAAAGCCUUCAUUCUCCUUCCACUCCUUCCUCACAGAAAAGGAACCAACAUUAGAUUUCAUAUCGCAUUCCAGACAAGGGUUAAGUUCUUCACAAGUAUUAAUCAUUACACCUCACUUGUAAGGUAAGCACAGCUAUCGUUCCCAUUUUUAAAUGAGGAAAUUGAGGUCAGAAUGUGUCAGAUGACUUGUCCAGAGUCAUGCAUCCCGAACACAACUGAGCCCAGUGAUCCAAUGCCCAUCCUACUGCCCUGACUGUAGACACUGCUCUACAGAGGACAGGACCCCUCCCUCACUUUACUUACAGUAGGAGGAGCAAGAGUAUUUUAUUAUCCACAUAGACUCUUUUUUCAAAAGAGAUGUUUGUUUAAUUAGACAAUGAGAAAAUUUGUUACAAAUGUUGAGUGAUUUCUGAUUAGAUGUUCUCUGUAUUUCAUUUUGAAAAAAAUUGCGGGGGGCUGGGGUUGUAGUUCAGUGGUAGAACAAUUGCCUCACACAUGUUAUCUUAAAUAAGAUAAGAAUAUUGUGCCCAUCUACAACUAAAAACAAAUAUUAAAAAAAAAUUUUACUUCCAUCACUUUAUACAUUUACUGUUUAAACAUAUAGAGGUGUUUGGUAUUCAGACCAUCUCUACUUCUUUCAAAUAGUUAUUUUCUUGGAAAAGGAAAAAGAAAAAAAGCUUUCCGAAGAUAAUAUCCACCUUUAUGACAUAGUAAUAGUUUCUAAGUUUACUGUUUACAACAUGAUCUUCAAGACCAGUGGAGGGAAGGGAGCUGCAGGUGGGGAGAGAGAAGGGGAAGAAGAGGUACUGGGGUCCGAAUAAGACAAGAUAUAGUCCAUGCUUGUAUAGUUAUGUUGAAAUGGAUUCUACUGUCAUGUAUAACUAAAAAGAACCAAUAAAUUUUUUCAAAGAAUAAUUUCUUAGGCUGGAAACCAAUAGUGUGUUCCUUAAAGGGUAUUAUACAUAAUAUGCAGUAAGAGUGGAUUUCAUGCAAAUUUGUAAUAGUAAUACUAUUAAGUUGUUUUUAACUCUUGCUUUAUGUAAAAAGUCUGAAAUAAUGAAAAUAAUCUUAAGUCAUCACGAAUGAUAUUAUGUCAGGGUGAAGGGCCAAGUGAACUGUAACCCACACUCAAUGUAUUGCCACACAGGACAGCCAGCCUUGCAGAAAUACUUGCCUUCCUUUAUCAAAGAGAGUAUUGAAUUACACAGGUCUUCAAAAAUGCAUCCUUCUUGCACAAUGUGACUAUGCAUUGCUUGCUAUAAUUUACAUUGCAUAACAUAUUAAUUCCCUAAAAAGGAAUCAGUCCUAACUCAUGCAGAUUUGCAGAUUUACAGAAAGAAACCGUUAGGUCUGUGGGAAAAUCUGUUUGAUUUAGCAAUAACCUGCUGUUUCCCAACCAUCUGACUGACCAUCUGAGAAUGUCAAUCUUGCCAUGAAUUAUUUUCUUCCUUUUAAAAUAUUUUUUAAUUGAUAAAUAAUACCAUCCACUCAGUUCUUUUGACGGUGUUCCAGUUCUCCUGUAUUUACCUACCACACAUUUUUAAAAUAUGUAGGAUAAUAACUUUUACCAUUGGUUCUAACCAGCCCAGAACAUGAAUCUUCUUUUAAACUAAAUGUACAAGUGCAAAGAGCUUAGGAAGUAAAGGUAACUUCAAGCAGACUAGAAAUUUUGUGUAAUUAUGAUUUUGUAUUAAAAUUCAAGAUAGAUAUAUUUGAAUGAUAAUUUCAGUACCAAAGUUUAGAAUGUAUUUAUUUAAUACUAUUUUUUAAUUAUUUCAAUGAUAUUAGCUUUAAAAAGUAUUUAAGUUAGGGCUGGGGUUGUGGCUUAAUGGUUGAGUGCUUGCCUAGCAUGUGUGAGGUACUGGGUUCCAUCCUCAGCACUAUAUAAAAAUAAAUAAAUAAAUAAAGGAUUAAUCCAGUUUUUUUUUAAAAAAAGCAUUUAAAUUAAUAAAUAAUAAUAAUAACAAACCUUGACUAGUUCUCUCAAACAUUUCUGAUAAAGGAGUGAAUUGUAUGGUACUGAAUUUCAUAAUAUAUGGGGAAAUAGUAGUUUUAGAAAAAUAUCCAUCUUAGCUGGAUUUUGUGGUGUGUGCCUAUAAUCCCAACUACUUGCGAUACUGAGACAGGAGGACUGUUUGAGCCCAGGAGUACAAGACCAGCCUGGACAACACAGCAAUAACCCUCAACAAAAAAUAAAGAAGAGAAAAAUCCCCACAAUGCCCUUUCCCCACUGCUAGCCACAUUUUAAAAGAUCUGAACCCAAAUACGUUUUAGGUUUUACUCUAGGCAAUUCAGUUAUUUUACUUCCUCAUUCUUCAAGAUUACUCAAGACCUUGAUGAGCCUGAGUUGUUUAAAUUGGAAGCUCUCAGAGGUGAUGGUCUAUCUCCAUCAUUUACUUAAUAAAUGGAAAAUGUCAUAAAACUCUUCAGUUGUUUUUGCAUCACUGUGCUAAAGCAGGUGGGGGAACUCCUAGUGAACUGGCCUUCCACGGGUCCAUUAAUUAUCCCAUUGAAUCCAGAUUUCACCAGAGAACAAUAGAAUCCUCUCAACUCUUAAGGCGUUGGUCCAUCUUCCAGCACCACUUAAAUCAGUAGAUAGAGCCAGGCCAGCAACUUGGGCUAAGGCGGAAGAAUCACAAGGCUGAUCAGCCUGGGCAACUUAGUGAGACCCUGUCCCAAAUAAAUAAAUAGGGCCAGUAAUGUAGCUUUGUGAUAGAGCACCCCUGGGUUCAAUCCCUGUACUGCAAAAACAAACCAACCAAAUUACUGGAGCAAGCACUUAUAAGAAAUGCAGAAUCUCAGGUCCUACCCAGAUCUACUAAAUCAGAAUCUACCAAAAUUGCUAGGCAAUUUGUAUGCAUACUGAAGUUGAAAAGAAGUGACUUUGGGGCCAGAGUUCACAUGCAAUUUCCCUAACAUGGUUCCCCCCCCUUUCUAUUAUUAUUAUUAUUAUUAUUAUUAUUAUUAUUAUUAUUAUUAUUGCCUUGUUUUGAAAGCCACAGGUGACUUGUCAUGUUUUGAAUUUAAACUAUUUUCUGUGCAAAAUUUCUGAUCAUGUUUUUAAAAUGUAUGUGAAAGCAAUUGAUCUGACCCUCAUGGUCUGCCUGGCCCCUCGGUGCGUUUCCUGCUGACCAGCUUAUUUCUCGUUUUCAGUCCUGACGUAGCUCUCCCUGAGGAGCAGCCACAUUCCAGCUCGCCCUGCGCCCCUCUCCACUGUCUCUCCAAGCCUCCUUACCCCUAGUCUCCAGCUCCUGUGGACGAACAUCUGGGCUGAAGGUUCUGUAGCCACUCGCAGGAUACUGCCCAAGCCCCGGCGGGGAUGUUCUUCCCGGUGGUUCGCUGUACAAUUGGAUUAAUGUUCAUCGUUUUGGAAGAGAGAAAAUUGAGAAGAUUGACAAAAAGCACAGACCCCGUGUGAUCAAACGUUUUAUGGUUCCUCUGAGUCACUGUUAAACUUCUCCAAUCCAAUGGCUACAGUUCAGUUAAAUUUCAAAAAUAAAAAGAAACAUGAAAUAUGCAUCUCAGAUGGCUGGCUUACCUCUAUAGCAUAAGAGAGACCUAAGACGAUGUAAAAUACGUAUAUUGUAAAAUCAUCUUUCCUCAUGCUCCAAAUUCAGCUAUAGAAGUUGAUUCUGAUAUUUUCGGUCAUUGAUAUUUAUUUUGUUACUUUAUUUGCUACAUGAUUUAUGUCUGUAAUAAAUAAUUUCUGUGAGAAGUGAAUUUAAUGCACUUAUUUUCAAAGAAGCAUAAUUUGCUCAGUUACAUAUGAGUUUUAAUUGAGUUUGAAAUCUGGAAUUGGCCAGAUUGUGAUCGUUUUUCUUGCACAAAAUGAUAAAUGUGGUGCAUCAGAAUGUUAACAAUAACUGUAUUUUGCUGCUACACUGAUUAUUUAUGCACUUAUUUUCUAAUCAGUAGCUCAUUAACUGCUGUUUUUUUUUUUAACUAUAUUUCUUCACUGGACAUUAUUAAGUAAAUCUAAGAAAGAGACUAAAUUUUGUUUCAUUGACUUAUUCAAAUUUUGAUGGCAUCUUCAAUUUUUUAAAAUUGCAGUUGAGUAGAUGUACUGGUGCUGCUUCUUUGUACGUGUGUACGUGUGUGAUGACAUUAUAGAAGGCUAAACAACCUGAAAGGAAAAAAAUGAUGUGUUUGUUUAAUGACCAGAACUUUUUUUUUUUAAACUUCUUCCAAAUUCAGGGUCCUACUAUGGGUCUUUCCUGCUAAAAGGUAUCAAGAACAAAGGAGAAAAUAUAUACAUACAUAGAUGUAAGGUAGCUUUGGCUAGUUAAUUUACCAGAAAGUGUUCAGAUUUUGAUUAAAAUUGUAUGUUUUGUUGUUAGGUUUUUUCAUAAUGAAUCUUCCUUGCCAAAAAACAAAUAGAUAAUAAACCUUAGCUCAUUGUCUACUUUUGACAAACACUCAGGUGCCUACAAUCAUUAUAUUAUAUUGAGAUAAGACAUGUUCCUAGUUCAUUUACAGAUUCUGCUAGGUAACUUUUAUGACCUGAUUUAAGGCAGUGGAUUUUCAUAGCAAAAUUUAUUUUGCACAUAAUCUGACAAACAAGGAAACAGCUAAUUGAGCUGAAAGGUCUAACACUAGGGCUCCUUAACUCUCAAGUGCUGCCCACACAACUGCUCCUAGCCCUGAUUCCUUGUCUUUGUCAGGUAGCCUUAACUAAUUUACAACCAUAAGGGUUUCACCUUUUCAUGUAACUUCUCUUCAGAACGGACACAGUCCGGCUGUUAACGUGAAGGACAGAUAACGGUGCAGGACACUAGCAGUGGAGGUUUAGGAGCUUAUCGAGUGGAAGUGGGUGGUACAUUCAUAGAGGGGUCCAUCCAAGGCCCACCUGUCAGUCAUUAAGCACAUUGCAGGAGCCUCUGUCAGUCAUUUGCCUGAUAAGUGGUGGUCAUUAUUACCAAAGCAACCAGGAGGUUUUGUGUUCCUUCUCUAAGUGCUAUUUUCAACAGUCAUUUCUUAUGCAACUUGGGGUAAAUAGUCGAAAUCUUCACCAAAAGAGAGAUUCAGGUUCAAGUACAGAAACAAACAAAACAGAUCUUCAUGAAAGCCCUAGUCACAGUAACCUAACAUGCUCCAUCCUACCAGUGUUCCCUUGCUGUUUCAUCUGCCUGCUACCAGGAUUAGUGAGACAGUGUGGAUUUUAUUAGAGUGAUUCAAGAAUGCUUGCCCCACCUCCACACACACUUUUCCUUUUUCAAGCAUCAUGUGUUUGGACCUGAAAAGUGGCAUAGCUGCUAAGUUGACUUUGUUCAAGAGAAAACAUGCCUUUUUUAACGAGUACCUCAGAACAACGUCUUUCUGUUUGUCUCAUGGAUUUUGUCUGGUGAGAUGGGAACUCAGCAGUCGAUCUUGGUUCUGUGAAACCACACAACUGUCCUGUUACCAGGGCUGCAUUCAUUUUUAUUCCCUUAUUCUAGAUUUAGGUCCCAGGGAAAAGUGAGUCAUAUACAGAACAUUUAUUUCUUCAAAUAUGAAACCUAUCAUAAACUAGUUUUAUUUCAGUUCUUUAUCCAAAUAGAGUGGAAAAUGCUUGUUUUGAAGUCUUAACUACAAAAUACUAAUUUUAGUGCAACUUUGUCAAGAAGAUUUGGAAACUUGGAAAUAAAUUUCUCACUUUCAGCACAAAAUUAAGUGGCAGUAAGAGAGAAUACCAUGUAUUUACAAUGUGGCAUUAUUUGGUAUAGUUUAAAUUGAGCCAUAUUUAUAUUUAUUUAUAGGCAUUUUAAAUGAAUAAAUAUGUGUAGUGUUGGUAAGAAUCAAUACUUGUAAAGAUAAUACAAGGAUCCAAAAGGAAACCGAAAAAGUGAAGAACUAGUGAAAACCCAAAAGGAUGAGCCUUACUAAUUGAAGACAUGUUUGGGGAGGAAAACUAAAUUGAAAAAAUACACUAAAGCUAAGUGUUGUAGACACGAUGAGCAAAAAUGAAAGAAAUCUAGCAGGAGUGUUUAGUAGAAUAACCAAGUAGAAGUUUUGUUUCGAUUUGGUUUUUGGCUUUGAUGAGAUGGGGUCUCUGCUCUUCAGCUGGUCUUGAACUCCUGGACUCCAGUGACCCUCCCACCUCAGCCUCUUGAGUGCUGCCUCUCCUGGCCCAAGUAAUUUUUUCAAAAAGGAAGCACAAUUACAAUGCUGAAAAGAAUAGUGUUAGUAUGCAGAAAUGCUUUCUUACUAGAGAUUUUUUCUUAAUUAAAAAAUAUCAGUAAAAUUAAAAGGAGCAAUAAAUUGCCUUUGGCCUAAGUGCUCAGGGGCAUAAAAACCUUGGAUACUUUCCCAUCAACUCACAUUUUAUCAGAUUCCUUUCAUGUAUACAGUUCUGGAUUCCAAAAAAGGGAGUUUGGGGAACUUUGCAAAAACAGAAAAUUCUUAAACAGUUAAGAAAAGACUUGGAUAUACUUUAUGUAGCUGAAGGAGAGCAUGUACAACAGUGAUCUUCAAGAAAAGAGAAAUUUUAGCAAGUAAUAGACACCUGUGAUAGAUAUCACUAAGGCUAGAAUAAGAAAUUCUUCAGUGUGAAAGAUUUAUAUUAAUUCUAGGAAGAAGGAUUUUACAAUGGAAAAUUCAUCACUGGAAUUGAUAAUUAUAAAAAAGAUAUGUUUUUUUGAAGUUAAUAUUGUUGGAGAUCUAGAGAGCGUUAAGUGGCAAAAUAUCUUAAAAUAUCUUACAAUAAUCCCAUGAUUCUUUUAUUUUUUUAAAAUACAUUAUAAAGUUUUACUGAUAGUCAUAAAGUAUUUAAUCCCUUGAAAUAAGAUGGUAAUCUUACUUUCUCCAAGAUAUUUGGCUUAAAAAUUUUUUGUUGGUAUUAAUUUUCCUCCCAGCUAUAUUUCAUAAUAUCUUUAAAGUUAUCUAGAAUGUAGCAGUUUUGCUACAAAAAGCCUCAAUUUUUGGAAUCUAAAAAACAACUGUCCUCAGGAAUACUUCCGAAAGAAAAGGUAUGUGAUCCCUCAGGGGAAACAAGUACCUCUUGAAUUUUAUCUUUACUUAAAAGGAUCUUCAAGCUUUUCUUAUCCUAUGGAAAUACAACAGAUAAAUCCCACUAUUUUGAAAAGCCUGAAACAGUGGUCCAGCAAAUAGCCAAGAUGUGGGAAUUUCCUGAUUAAAAAAAAAUAAAUUAAAUAAAAUCCUCUCCAGUUCUUAAGUGGAGAUCACAAAACAAGAAUAUGAAGGAAUAAAAUAUAUUUUCUACUGAAAUAAGAAUGUCACAUUUCAUUGUCAUGCUCCAGUCAGCCAAAAGAUAUAAUUGCAUCUCUGAAAAAGUAAUCAGAAGAAGCUAAUAGGUUUUCAGGAAGGAACAGUACUGGUUCAACCCAGGGAUGCCACAAAUACAUUGAUAUUGUAGCUAGACCUAGAUUUGAAAGAAACUCUUGGGGUGAAGUUUCCAUUUUUAAAAGUUCACUCUCUGGUUGUUUGUUGUUGUUGUUGUUUAUAAAUCAGAGUGAUUUAAAAUAAUUAUGUAUUUAAGAUCACAAAAACUUUACAGUAAUAUGUUUUCAAAUAAAGGGAACAUAAUUUUCCAGAAAGCCAUCAAACUGGAGUCAUGAUAGAUAGCAUGAUCAGUGCUGCUACUGAAAAAUCAUUUUUUACCUUAAAAUCAAUUUGUGUUGACAUAUGAGAACAAGCUUACUCCCGAGUGACUUCUUCCAUCCUCUGUAAUAAUGCUCCCAGAUGAUUGUGUCUGAAAUUAUUGUUAUUAUUAUUAUUAUUAUUAUUAUUAUUAUUAUUAUUAUUAUGUGUGGUGCUGGAGAUUGAACCCAGGGCCUCAUGCAUGCAAGGCAAACACUCUACCAACUAAGCUAUAUUCCCAGUCCAAUUUCAUCUUUAUUUUGAUGCCAACAUUACUACCAUAGUCCCUGAUGUAUUGCAUUUGUAGCCUAGCUCUGUUAACACCUGAAAGACUUCAUCUAGACAUCUCUUUCAUCCUAUUACUCAAAGUGUACUUGAAAGAGAUAUUUAGUGUUAAGGUAUGUUCCCCAGCUGAAAAUUUUCUACAAAUGGUGUUCUGUUUAAAAAAAAAGAGGAGAAGAAAUAAACUGCUGCUAGUGUAAGGCAAGGGUGCACAGAGGUACACAGUGUAAGAUGUUUGCAUGAGAUAGUUCACACCGUGUAAGCCUUCCCAUAUCCAUGAUAUGAACACUCUAGAAGUCUUAUUUCUCCUGUGAUUUCCCCAUUAGGAAUGUAAAGAGAUUGCCACCUGUACCUGGUCUCCUUUCCAUAUUGAAAUGCAUGGCUCUACUCUUUAAUGUAGUUUUAUCCCUUUCCUCUGGAGUUAUUUAAAUUUUGCCCUAUUUAAUCUGAAGCCUGGAUAAACUGCAGAUCUAGAUUAAUUCUGAGAUUGGCUUUUAAUUGCUGUACAACAUGUGUUGAGAAUUUAUUUUUAUUUUAACUUUUCUUCCUUUCAGAAUUAUUCUCUGGUAAUCAUGACUCUAAUCAAAACACUGAGAAGUAAACUUGUGUGUUGACUUCUUUUUUUUUUUUAAAUCAAUUUGGUUGACUGGGGUUGUGGCUCAGCAGUAGAGCACUCUCCUAGCACGGGUGAGGCCCUGGGUUCAAUCCCCAACACCACAUAAAAAUAAAUAAAUAAAGAUAUUGUGUCCGACUACCAUUAAAAAAUAAAUAUUAAAAAAAAAAGAAUGCCAUUGGUAUUUUAAAAAAAUCACUUUAAAACGAAGAUCAGAGACCUAUAAAAUAAAAGGAUAUAUCAUCACUAUGUUGAAAAAUCAUUAUUUGGUGACAAUGAAGACACAGAGUGAAUGUUGGAUUCAUAGAUAUGGUUGCAUAGCAAGUCAUAGAGGAAAUGCAUCGUUUUAACAUUGUCACCACAGAAUUUUUAAGCUCAAUGGUUUGACUGUUAGAGUCAACAAUUCUUUGGAAAUCUUUUAUGACAUUUUUGUAAUCUACUCAGUGUUUUUAUUUGCAUGAUUACGUAUAUACCGUGAACCAAACAUGAUUCCUACAUUGUAUUUCUUUCCAGUAUUUACAUUUGUGUCAUGUGUGGCCAACCCUGAUUUGUACACUGUCUGAUUAUUGUUAUAGCGAUUUAGCUUUCUCCUACAUUUAAUUAAAGUUUCUUAUUAUGCCUUUUGGGGUUAAAUGAUGUGAAGUGUUCCACCUAAUAACACCAUAUGGAAACAUGACUAAACGACUGAUCUAAGGAACUUCUGUUUACUAAUUAUUUUUAAAAAUUCAAAUUUCAAAGGAAACAUUCUCAGACACAUGCAUUUGUUCUUAAUUCGAAAAAAAAUCCUUAUGUAUUUAUUAUUGCUCGUCCUUUUUAUUUUUUUAUUGUAGACAAUCUUAAGUGAAUGUCUCAUGGGAGAAUUCCUACACCCUGUGCUUGUUUUCGUGUAAUUGAUCACACACUCAAUGGUUGGGAAAGGCACUCCGAUGCUAAGAAAAUAACCAGAAGCCGAUAUAUCGAUUCUUAUACCUUGGUUUAUGUUAACGACUGAAUAUUGUGUAAUGCAUAAUUUUUUCCAGUAAAUAAACUGGUUACCUUUUGUUCAUUUCAUCAGUGC